CCCUUCCGCCGUGGAGGAUAUCCAGUUGUAAGGUUGGUCAAGGGCUUCACAAUCCUUGAGUAAUCCUUGACAAAUCUCCGAUAGUAACCGGAGAAGCCUAAGAAGGAUUGGAGCUCCUUUAAGUUCUGUGGUCUUGGCCAGGUUUUCAAGGCUUGAACCUUUUCAGGGUCAGUUUUCACUCCAUCGCUGGAAACAAUGUGGCCCAAGUAACGCACUGAAGUCUGAAAGAACUUGCACUUAUCGGGUGAAAGUUUCAAGCCAUAUUCACUGAGACGGUUGAGUACAUGGAUGAGCCUUGUCUCAUGUUCUUCAAGAGUGUCUGAAAACACUAUGAGAUCAUCUAGAAAAACAAGGACCUCCUUUAAAUGGAUGUCACUCAUGCAUUUCUCCAUGAGCCGUUGGAAUGUGCUCGGAGCAUUUGUGAUUCCCUGGGGCAUUCGAUUGAACUCCCAGAAUCCAAAGGGGCAUACAAAGGCAGUUUUAUGCUUGUCACUUUCAUUCAUCUCGAUUUGAUAGUACCCAGAUUUCAGGUCCAUCACGGAAAACCACUUUGAUCCAGCGAGAGCGGAAAAUGACUCCUCCAGGUUUGGUAAUGCAUAGGAGUCUUUUAUUGUUUGCAGGUUUAAUUUUCUGUAGUCCACACAUAAGCGGACAUCGCCAUUUUUCUUCCUCACCACCACGAUGGGUGAUGAGAAUGGGGACUCUGAUUCUCGAAUUAUACCAGCAUCAAAAAGGGUUUGAAGGUGUUUUUUGACUGCUUCAUAAUCUCGAGGAUGAAUUGGGCGAGGUCUCUGUUUGAUUGGGGUCUCAUCCUUUAGCUUGAUGUGGUGUUGGGUUUUGGUUGCAUGACCGAAGUCAAGAUCAUGUUGGGCAAAGACAUGAGAAAAGCUAUUGAGCUUUGUUGUAAUUCUUGCUUUCCACUCCUCAGGAAGAGAAGGACCAAAAUCAAAGCUUUUCUCUGGAAGAUUUGCCUCCGCCUGGUGAGAAGAGCACUCAACAACAUGCUUCUGAAGCUCCUUAUCAACCACAUGAUGAUUCUCGAUGACAGCAUCUACAACAGUCAGAUCUGCGAUAAUGCAGUUGUUGCAGGGUACGAAGAACCUGAUUGUAACCAUGGCAAGGUGAGCUAUGGGAAAAUGAGGAGUCAUCACAACACUCAUCAAAGAGAGGGUCUAAAGUGUUGGUGCCAAUUAAUAAUGGAACACCACUAUUUGACCGAAGAUCAGGAACAAUUAAAGCCAAGGUUGAAAUUUCUGGCUCAGUCUCAAGAAGGGCUUUCGGGAACUUGAGGUCAACCUCCACAUAUCCCAGGAUUCUCUGGACUGCAUGCGCUGAGUUUUGCAACCUGAACCUGAAGUUCAGCGAUCUGCUUCUGGAUGUCUUUGGUCAUAGCCAAAAAAGCUUGUUCUGCUUUCUGUGGCGCUCCAAUAUCCUCGGUUAAGAGAAGAAGCUCUGCAAACGACGGUGGCUUUGUCUUGAGCUGCUCAAGCUGGAGACUGGUGAUGAGGAGACUGUCCCAACACCCACGGCAGAAUUGCUUUAGAAGUUGCUUGUCAGCAUCAUGAGCAGAAAUUCCUCCUUUCGUGACCACAUAGCUUAAGGCUGUAUGAAGUUGCUGCAGGUAAUCUGAUGCUUUCUCCCCAGCAUUUUGAUUAUUGUUCAAGAAUCGUGCAAAAAGUUCAUCCCCAUCUUCGACUGUGGCAUAAGCAGAAUCAAGUAAGGUCAAGUACUCUUUUGGUGAGGUUUUGGGCCCUAAUGACUUGAUUAUGUUUGCUGCUGGAGGUGAAAGACUUUCAACAAUUUUCCUUACCACUUGGGAGUCAGGAACUGACGGAUCAUUCAAGCAGAACUCUACACUGUUACGCCAGGUGUCGUAGUCGACCUCGAAGGUUGGCCGAGGAAGUCGCCCUGAAAACUGUUUAAGUUUACAAGGAGAAUGAAGGUGGGAUGAAAUUUCACUGCUCCUGACAAUGUGUUCAACCACAACACGUUGCACUUCUGGUGUGCUGAGUUGAUCUGAAGGUAAGUGAUAAGGGCUAGCUCUUUCCCUUCUUGGAGAGGGAAGAUCUUUUACUUCAAUGUCAAUCUGGGGUCUGUAGGAAGUUUGACUCAUCUCGGUGGGGGCGCUGAUAAAGCUAGGGGCAGUAGCUUGGAUAUCACUUUGUGUAAGGGGCGGAUCAGUUCCUUCAGGAUUUCCACCGGUCUCAGCGGGGGUUUCAGUUCUGAUGGAUUCACUGAUCCUAGCCAGCUCCUUACGGAGGAUAUCUCCAAAAUCCUUGCCGCUCGUUUUAGCCAAGUCUUUCAGCCCAGAGAGGUAAGUCUCUGUCACACUGGUACCCACAUCACAAGCAUAAAUGCUAGCAAGACUCUGCACAUGGUGGAUAACCUCAGGUUCGGUAACACAUGGUCUUCGGUAAGGUAAGCCAGUGGUUUCGAGGUCUUCUAUAGCA